rnacentral:rRNA from 1 species
GACAGAGGUCCCGAGCGUUAGGCGGAAUCACUGGGCUUAAAGCGUGUGUAGGCGGAUUUGUAAGUACCUUGUGAAAUCCCACGGCUUAACCGUGGAACUGCUUGGUAUACUGCUUAUCUUGGGCCAUCUAGGGGCGAGCGGAACAAACGGUGGAGCGGUGAAAUGCGUAGAUAUCGUAAGGAAGACCAGUGGCGAAGGCGGGUCUCUGGACAGUUCCUGACGCUGAGGCACGAAGGCCAGGGGAGCAAACGGG